CUACGGGUUGCACCAGUGAGGAAUAUUGGUCAAUGGACGGAAGUCUGAACCAGCCAUGUCGCGUGCAGGAAGACUGCCCUAUGGGUUGUAAACUGCUUUUGUACGGGAAGAAAAGAUAAUACGUGUAUUAUUUUGCCGGUACCGUACGAAUAAGCAUCGGCUAACUCCGGCCAGCAGCCGCGGUAAUACGGAGGAUGCGAGCGUUAUCCGGAUUCAUUGGGUUUAAAGGGUGCGUAGGCGGAAUGGUAAGUCAGGGGUGAAAGUUUGUCGCUCAACGGUAAAAUUGCCUUUGAUACUGUCAUUCUUGAGUACAUUUGAGGUAGGCGGAAUGUGAUAUGUAGCGGUGAAAUGCUUAGAUAUAUCACAGAACACCGAUUGCGAAGGCAGCUUACUAAACUGUAACUGACGCUGAGGCACGAAAGCGUGGGGAUCGAACAGGAUUAGAUACCCUCGUAGUC
rnacentral:rRNA from 1 species